CUAGCGGCGGACGGGUGAGUAAUGCUUAGGAAUCUGCCUAUUAGUGGGGGACAACGUUCCGAAAGGAACGCUAAUACCGCAUACGCCCUACGGGGGAAAGCAGGGGAUCUUCGGACCUUGCGCUAAUAGAUGAGCCUAAGUCGGAUUAGCUAGUUGGUGGGGUAAAGGCCUACCAAGGCGACGAUCUGUAGCGGGUCUGAGAGGAUGAUCCGCCACACUGGGACUGAGACACGGCCCAGACUCCUACGGGAGGCAGCAGUGGGGAAUAUUGGACAAUGGGCGNAAGCCUGAUCCAGCCAUGCCGCGUGUGUGAAGAAGGCCUUUUGGUUGUAAAGCACUUUAAGCGAGGAGGAGGCUCCUUUAGUUAAUACCUAAAGAGAGUGGACGUUACUCGCAGAAUAAGCACCGGCUAACUCUGUGCCAGCAGCCGCGGUAAUACAGAGGGUGCGAGCGUUAAUCGGAUUUACUGGGCGUAAAGCGUGCGUAGGCGGCUUUUUAAGUCGGAUGUGAAAUCCCUGAGCUUAACUUAGGAAUUGCAUUCGAUACUGGAAAGCUAGAGUAUGGGAGAGGAUGGUAGAAUUCCAGGUGUAGCGGUGAAAUGCGUAGAGAUCUGGA
rnacentral:rRNA from 1 species